AUACGUAGGGGGCGAGCGUUGUCCGGAAUGAUUGGGCGUAAAGGGCGCGUAGGCGGCCCGGUAAGUCUGGAGUGAAAGUCCUGUUUUUAAGAUGGGAAUUGCUUUGGAUACUGUCGGGCUUGAGUGCAGGAGAGGUAAGUGGAAUUCCCAGUGUAGCGGUGAAAUGCGUAGAGAUUGGGAGGAACACCAGUGGCGAAGGCGACUUACUGGACUGUAACUGACGCUGAGGCGCGAAAGUGUGGGGAGCAAACAGGAUUAGAUACCCUGGUAGUCCACACUGUAAACGAUGAAUGCUAGGUGUAGGGGGUAUCGACCCCUUCUGUGCCGCAGUCAACACAAUAAGCAUUCCGCCUGGGGAGUACGGCCGCGAGGUUGAAACUCAAAUGAAUUGACGGGG
rnacentral:rRNA from 1 species